CCGCUCUCUUCGGACAAAGACUUUUUCAUUACUUAGAAUCGAGCGCGGGAAAAAUUCCUGCUGGUAAAUCCAUUGCAGGAUUAAAAAUGUCUUUAUUCGACGUGAGUCGAGUUUACCCGAUAAUGUUUCGAGUCUCCUCCGCCUGAACGCAUUUUAACGCAGGCGUUUGCUGUAACCGGUGCGUCUUUGUGAUCCUCUAUUGAACUUUUUAGUCGGUUUGGUGUUAGUGAUUUGGCCCUAAAGUGCUAUUUUCGGGCGGUGGCUCUAUACUUCUGAGGAGGAUUAUAAAUAUCAGGCGAAAUAAAAACCCUUUGAAG